UGGGGAAUUUUGGACAAUGGGCGCAAGCCUGAUCCAGCCAUGCCGCGUGAGUGACGAAGGCCUUAGGGUUGUAAAGCUCUUUUGGCGGGGAAGAUAAUGACGGUACCCGCAGAAUAAGCUCCGGCUAACUUCGUGCCAGCAGCCGCGGUAAUACGAAGGGAGCUAGCGUUGUUCGGAAUCACUGGGCGUAAAGCGCACGUAGGCGGAUGUGUCAGUCAGGGGUGAAAUCCCGGAGCUCAACUUCGGAACUGCCCUUGAUACAGCACGUCUUGAGUCCGAUAGAGGUGGGUGGAAUUCCUAGUGUAGAGGUGAAAUUCGUAGAUAUUAGGAAGAACACCGGUGGCGAAGGCGGCCCACUGGAUCGGUACUGACGCUGAGGUGCGAAAGCGUGGGGAGCAAACAGGAUUAGAUACCCCCGUAGUCCCUGAGCGGGCUGGCAAGGCGCAU
rnacentral:rRNA from 1 species